rnacentral:rRNA from 1 species
UUUCGCAAUGCCCGAAAGGGUGACGAAGCGACGCCGCGUGCGGGAGGAAGGCCUUCGGGUUGUAAACCGCUGUUGGGAGUUAAGAAAUGCAAGGAUGUUAAUAGCGUUCUUGCUUGACUAAGGCUCCGGAGGAAGCCACGGCUAACUCUGUGCCAGCAGCCGCGGUAAUACAGAGGCGGCAAGCGUUGUUCGGAAUUAUUGGGCGUAAAGAGCACGUAGGCGGCUGUGUAAGUCGGUUGUGAAAGCCUUCCGCUCAACGGAAGAACGGCAUCCGAUACUGCAUGGCUUGAGUGUGGGAGGGGAGAGUGGAACUUCUGGUGGAGCGGUGAAAUGCGUAGAUAUCAGAAGGAACACCGGCGGCGAAGGCGACUCUCUGGUCCAUAACUGACGCUGAGUGUGCGAAAGCUAGGGGAGCAAACGGGAUUAGAUACCCCGGUAGUCCUAGCCGUAAACGAUGGGCACUAAGUAGAGGGGUUUU